rnacentral:misc_RNA from 1 species
UUUCCGUAGGUGAACCUGCGGAAGGAUCAUUACCGAGUUAGGGUUGCCUUUCUAGGUGCCCGACCUCCCAACCCUUUUUCUAUGAUACCACAGUUGCUUCGGCGGACCGAGGGGUCACACCCUCGCCUGGUCGCCCCGACCGGGAGCGCGUCCGUCGAUGGCCUCAACUUAACACUUGAACCCAAAACCUGUCGUCUGAAAACAUUUAUGAUUUAUUAAUCAAAAACAAAACUUUCAACAACGGAUCUCUUGGUUCUGGCAUCGAUGAAGAACGCAGC